ACGGAGGGUGCAAGCGUUAAUCGGAAUUACUGGGCGUAAAGCGCACGCAGGCGGUUCGGCAAGUCUGAUGUGAAAUCCCCGGGCUUAACCCGGGAAGUGCAUUGGAAACUGCCGAGCUUGAGUACUGUAGAGGAUGGUAGAAUUCCCGGUGUAGCGGUGAAAUGCGUAGAGAUCUGGAGGAAUACCGGUGGCGAAGGCGGCCCCCUGGACGAAAACUGACGCUCAGGUGCGAAAGCGUGGGGAGCAAACAG
rnacentral:rRNA from 1 species